rnacentral:rRNA from 1 species
UACGUAGGGUGCGAGCGUUGUCCGGAAUUAUUGGGCGUAAAGAGCUCGUAGGCGGUCUGUCGCGUCGGUCGUGAAAACUUGGGGGCUUAACCCCUGAGCUUGCGGUCGAUACGGGGCAUGACUGGAGUUCGGCAGGGGAGACUGGAAUCCUGGUGUAGCGGUGAAAUGCGCAGAUAUCAGGAGGAACGACCGCUGGCGGCAA